rnacentral:sRNA from 1 species
GCUGGGCGCAGUGGCAUACACCUGUAAUCCCAGCAGCUCAGGAGGCUGAGGCAGGAGGAUGGUGAGUUCAGAGCCAGCCUCAGCAAAAGCGAGGCACUAAGCAACUAAGACCCUGUCUCUA